AUCAGGAUGGCAGACAGGCUCCUGUUGCUCCUGCUCCUAUCUGGCCUCCCUAGUGUAAUAUGUGAAAGUCUAGAGUCCAUUCCAUCAAGUCCAGUAGUACAGGAGGCUGGUACCACUCUCGACCUCUCCUGUAAGGGUUCUGGAUAUAAUUUUGGUAGCUAUUACACACACUGGAUUCGACAGCCAGCUGGGAAGCCUCUAGAGUGGAUAGGGUAUAGUGAAGAUUCUGCAGAAAGCGUGAAAGGACGGAUAGAAAUCACCGACGAUGAUCCCAACAGCGUGGUGUAUCUGAAACUGUCCGCUCUGAAAGCAGAAGACACAGCUGUGUAUUACUGUGCCCGAGACACGGCGUCAUAUUUUGACCUUUGGGGAAAAGGCACACAAGUGACCGUCACCGCCGCCGGUAAGUCUUCUUCUCAACCCGCUUUGUUCCCCCUUCUGCCAUGUGGGACCAAAGAUGGGUUCGUCCACCUUGGCUGUAUGGCCAGUGACUUCUCACCAGCAGACUCUCUGAGCUUCAGCUGGAAGGACAGCAGCUCCCAGCCACUGCAGGACUCCAGACAAUACCCUCUGCUGGAGCAGAAUGGAGUCAACGUGGGUUUCAGUGAGAUCCGCGUCACAGCAGAAGACUGGGAGAAGAAAAAGCCCUACCAGUGCACCGUGACACAUCCAGCACUUUCGGGUGACAAGACUGUCAUCUUAGAAAAGCCAGAUCCACCCUCAGUCCCAACCAACAAGCCCUGCCUGGAUCUGACCCUGAAGUCGCCAAGGGUGAUAGAGCUGUUCAUUAACAAUAAGGCUGUGCUGGACUGCAUCAUCAGUGGGAGAGACAAGGGGGCAGUGGAGCAAGCUGAGGUCACCUGGAAGGUGGAUCACGCAGUGACAACAGUAAAUGUCAACACAGCCAGCGGUGCCUGGGGCCUGAAAGGUCGCUUUGUGAGGAACAGCACCCUAACCCUGAGUGGCACUUCCUCGAAGGGUACAAUAAUAGAGUGUCAGGUUCAGCAGAAGGGCGGAUCUCCCAUCUCAGAGACUCUCACCAUCGGACAAGAACGUCAGUCCCCUCCUACAGUCUCCAUUGCUAUUCCUGCUGACCUUAAUAAAAUGACAGACAUCAUGCUGGCAUGCUUGGUGACGGACUUUUCUCCCAGUGAGAUAUACGUAGCGUGGCAGGUGGAAAAUGGUGGAUAUGAGGCAGGUAUUACUGGUGAGCCAGUGGCAACUGGCGAAAAAUUCUCUGUUACUAGCCUGUUGAAAGUCUCAAAAGUAAACUGGAACAAAAGCACCACCUACUCCUGCAUUGCAAGACAUGGAUCUCAGGAGCAGCAGAAAGUGCCCGCAAUCAAAACAGUGAACAAAAAGACGGAAAAGCCUCGCGUUCCUACCCCGGAACAAGACCACUUAGAUACGUGCAACUGCAAUGAAGAAGUUCCACACAAGGACGAGUAUAACAGCCUAUGGAACACGGCUUUCUCCUUCAUCAUCCUCUUCCUCACCAGCCUCACCAUUUUGGGCUUCAAUAUCUAUCACACCCAUUUAAAGGUGAUCUAGUGAUUUCAACAUCAAGAAGAGAGGAUUUCAUACAAUAAGCCUUUUUGUAAUCAUCCAUUGCCUUUAUAUCAGAAUAUCAUUUGGUUGUGAAUCCUUGUGUAUUUGUAACAUUACAAUGUAACAUGGAUGUGUGCGUCUCAUAUCUAAUUGUGUGUCUCUCAUAUUAUUUAAUCUGUCAGUUAAGUUUGUUCCCUGCACACUUGGCUGUAAUUUUGCUUGUCUUCAAAAAAACAAAAAAAACUUAAGAAUAUUCAAGGAUAUAUUAACUUUUUUAUUAACUUUUUAUAUUAAAUUUUCUUUUAAUAUUUACUCAUUUUCAUUUAAUCUUGAUUCGUAUUUUUACAUACCCUGAUUUUAUGUAUUCAGAUCAUGAAAUCAAUCUACAUAAAUUUAUGUUUAAAAUCCUCUCUCAUUAAUAAUCACUGUACAAUAUUUUC